GUCUGAUGAAGCUCAUUAGGUAGAGCGGGUCCCUUGGGAGACGCGGUUGAAGGUUCGAAUCCUUCCUCAGACG
rnacentral:tRNA from 1 species